CCUACGGGGGGCUGCAGUGGGGAAUAUUGGACAAUGGGGGGAACCCUGAUCCAGCCAUGCCGCGUGUGUGAAGAAGGUCCUCGGGUUGUAAAGCACUUUCAGUGAGGAAGAACGCCUGGUGGUUAAUACCCAUCAGGAAAGACAUCACUCACAGAAGAAGCACCGGCUAACUCCGUGCCAGCAGCCGCGGUAAUACGGAGGGUGCGAGCGUUAAUCGGAAUUACUGGGCGUAAAGCGCGCGUAGGUGGCUUGAUAAGCCGGUUGUGAAAGCCCCGGGCUCAACCUGGGAACGGCAUCCGGAACUGUCAAGCUAGAGUGCAGGAGAGGAAGGUAGAAUUCCCGGUGUAGCGGUGAAAUGCGUAGAGAUCGGGAGGAAUACCAGUGGCGAAGGCGGCCUUCUGGACUGACACUGACACUGAGGUGCGAAAGCGUGGGUAGCAAACAGGAUUAGAUACCCCGGUAGUC
rnacentral:rRNA from 1 species